CACACACCUACAACCAAGAGAGAAAAUUGUGAGAUUUGUGUAGUUUUGUGUGGUUCAAGACUUGAAGUAUGUGCUAAGAAGUAUUUUGAAAAGAAGUUUAAAGGAACUACACGAAGAAGAGUGUUAAUAGACAAAGACCAGAACUCAAGAGGUUUUAUAGCUAAGGACGCAUAGUUUAUAUUUUGUUUGUAGUCUUCUGUGUUUAUAGCAUUUUAUGUUGACAAGAUUGCUAAUGAUUUAUAUGUAUUCUUUUGUGUCAUUAUGGACACCUGUUUCCUUGUAUCUGUUAUAAGUAUUUUCUAAUGAAUAUC